AAUACCGUUUGGCUAUUGUGGAUAGAUCCUGCCGUGCAAAACAAACAAUUUGAGGCUUGAUGAUUGGGUGCUAUGCCGAAUAUACAACAAGAAAGGAACGCUCGAAAAGCACUACAAUGUGGUUGAUCAAGAGGCGGUUCAAUUUUCAGACAACGAAGAACAAAAGCCGAAUGUGAAUACUAAUGUGUUCCCGCGCAAUAACAAUCCGAUGAAUAAUGAGUACGUGAAUUUCGACACGUCGGAAUCCACACCUAAGUUGAAUAAUACCUACUCGAGUACCACAAGCUCUCGUGAGCACGUUUUAUCGCCCGAUUUUAAGGAAGUUCAAAGUGAACCGAAGUGGAGCGAGUUCGAAAGUAACACUCCGUUUGGUUUUCAGACGAAUUAUUACAUGGACGAAGUGUUUCAAGAAGACCAUUUUGCCUAUCAGACGAUGCAAUAUAAUAACGAGCAGCUCUCGUUAUUGCAAGAGGUGUUUGGUUAUAACUAAUGUGUCUAGUUAUAGUAAUUUUGAUCAUCAAUAGUAUAGUAUAGUAUAAAAAGAAUAGAUAGCUAUUAGUUUGAGGGUGACAAAAAUUCUCUCUCUAGACCUUUCUAGAGAGAGAGAGAUCUUGAAAAACUAUGGUGUGGAGGACUAAAAUGUGGAAAAAUGACGAGGUAGUCAAAUUUGAUGGGCUUGGAGAGUUGCUAAGAUGUGGGUGGUGCUUGUGGUGUUAGUUGCAUUGAAUAUAUCUUGACCGAAAAAAAAUGUUGCAUUGAAUAUUGGGCUUUCUUGUAUGGUAUGGUUAGAAAAUUUUUGGAUGUAUUCGAUGAUUCGUUCCUUCUUUCUUACUGUAUGAUUAGAAUGUUGUGUUGAUGCAUGAUGA